rnacentral:rRNA from 1 species
GAUGAACGCUGGCGGCGUGCUUAACACAUGCAAGUCGAACGAGAAUCAACGGAUUGAGGAUUCGUCCAAAUGAAGUUGAGGAAAGUGGCGGACGGGUGAGUAACGCGUGAGGAACCUGCCUCGGAGUGGGGAAUAACAGUUGGAAACAGCUGCUAAUACCGCAUAAUGCAACGGAAUCGCAUGACUCUGUUGCCAAAAGAUUUAUCGCUCUGAGAUGGCCUCGCGUCUGAUUAGCUAGUUGGCGGGGUAACGGCCCACCAAGGCGACGAUCAGUAGCCGGACUGAGAGGUUGGCCGGCCACAUUGGGACUGAGACACGGCCCAG